rnacentral:sRNA from 1 species
GGAGACCGGGGUUCGAUUCCCCGCCGGAG